rnacentral:lncRNA from 1 species
GUUCCAAUUGCGUGCGCGUAUGGAUGCUCCUUUCGCCGCCGCCUUUCUAGCAACUAGUUGAUGUUAUGAUGCAUCGUUGGUCCGGUGUACGACGGCGCCUGGUGCGAUUUAUGCGUCCGGAAGCCCUUUCAGCCUCCAGGCAUGUCCCCACCUGCCUCACAGCCACCGACGCAUCUCACGGCGGGGGUCUAAUUGCGUGCGCGUAUGGAUGCUCCUUUCGCCGCCUUUCUAGCAACUAGUUGAUGUUAUGAUGCAUCGUUGGUCCGGUGUACGACGGCGCCUGAUGCGAUUUAUGCGUCCGGAAGCCCUUUCAGCCUCCAGGCAUGUCCCCACCUGCCUCACAGCCACCGACGCAUCUCACGGCGGGGUUCCAAUUGCGUGCGCGUAUGGAUGCUCCUUUCGCCGCCGCCUUUCCAGCAACUAGUUGAUGUUAUGAUGCAUCGUUGGUCCGGUGUACGACGGCGCCUGGUGCGAUUUAUGCGUCCGGAAGCCCUUUCAGCCUCCAGGCAUGUCCCCACCUGCCUCAUAGCCACCGACGCAUCUCACGGCGGGGUUCCAAUUGCGUGCGCGUAUGGAUGCUCCUAUUCGCCGCCGCCUUUCUAGCAACUAGUUGAUGUUAUGAUGCAUCGUUGGUCCGGUGUACGACGGCGCCUGAUGCGAUUUAUGCGUCCGGAAGCCCUUUCAGCCUCCAGGCAUGUCCCCACCUGCCUCACAGCGACCGAGGCAUCUCACGGCGGGGGUCUAAUUGCGUGCGCGUAUGGAUGCUCCUUUCCCCGCCGCCUUUCUAGCAACUAGUUGAUGUUAUGAUGCAUCGUUGGUCCGGCGUAUGACGGCGCCUGGUGCGAUUUAGGCGUCCGGAAGCCCUUUCAGCCUCCAGGCAUGUCCCCACCUGCCUCACAGCCACCGACGCAUCUCACGGCGGGGGUCUAAUUGCGUGCGCGUAUGGAUGCUCCUUUCCCCGCCGCCUUUCUAGCAACUAGUUGAUGUUAUGAUGCAUCGUUGGUCCGGCGUACGACGGCGCCUGAUGCGAUUUAUGCGUCCGGAAGCCCUUUCAGCCUCCAGGCAUGACCCCACCUGCCUCACAGCUACCGAGGCAUCUCACGGCGGGGGUCCAAUUGCGUGCGCGUAUGGAUGCUCCUUUCCCCGCCGCCUUUCUAGCAACUAGUUGAUGUUAUGAUGCAUCGUUGGUCCAGUGUACGACGGCGCCUGAUGCGAUUUAUGCGUCCGGAAGCCCUUUCAGCCUCCAGGCAUGUCCCCACCUGCCUCACAGCCACCGACGCAUCUCACGGCGGGGUUCCAAUUGUGUGCGCGUAUGGAUGCUCCUUUCCCCGCCGCCUUUCUAGCAACUAGUUGAUGUUAUGAUGCAUCGUUGGUCCGGUGUACGACGGCGCCUGAUGCGAUUUAUGCGUCCGGAAGCCCUUUCAGCCUCCAGGCACGUCCCCACCUGCCUCACAGCCACCGACGCAUCUCACGGCGGGGUUCCAAUUGUGUGCGCAUAUGGAUGCUCCUUUCCCCGCCGCCUUUCUAGCAACUAGUUGAUGUGAUGAUGCAUCGUCGGUCCGGUGUACGAUGGCGCCUGAUGCGAUUUAUGCGUCCGGAAGCCCUUUCAGCCUCCAGGCAUGUCCCCACCUGCCUCACAGCUACCGAGGCAUCUCACGGCGGGGUUCCAAUUGUGUGCGCGUAUGGAUGCUCCUUUCCCCGCCGCCUUUCUAGCAACUAGUUGAUGUUAUGAUGCAUCGUUGGUCCGGUGUACGAUGGCGCCUGAUGCGAUUUAUGCGUCCGGAAGCCCUUUCAGCCUCCAGGCACGUCCCCACCUGCCUCACAGCCACCGACGCAUCUCACGGCGGGGGUCUAAUUGCGUGCGCGUAUGGAUGCUCCUUUCCCCGCCGCCUUUCUAGCAACUAGUUGAUGUUAUGAUGCAUCGUUGUUCCAGUGUACGACGGCGCCUGAUGCGAUUUAUGCGUCCGGAAGCCCUUUCAGCCUCCAGGCAUGUCCCCACCUGCCUCACAGCCACCGACGCAUCUCACGGCGGGGUUCAUAUUGCGUGCGCGUAUGGAUGCUCCUUUCGCCGCCUUUCCAGCAACUAGUUGAUGUUAUGAUGCAUCGUUGGUCCGGCGUACGACGGCGCCUGAUGCGAUUUAUGCGUCCGGAAGCCCUUUCAGCCUCCANNNNNNNNNNNNNNNNNNNNNNNNNNNNNNNNNNNNNNNNNNNNNNNNNNCUUUCCCCGCCGCCUUUCUAGCAACUAGUUGAUGUUAUGAUGCAUCGUUGGUCCGGUGUACGACGGCGCCUGAUGCGAUUUAUGCGUCCGGAAGCCCUUUCAGCCUCCAGGCAUGACCCCACCUGCCUCACAGCUACCGAGGCAUCUCACGGCGGGGUUCCAAUUGCGUGCGCGUAUGGAUGCUCCUUUCCCCGCCGCCUUUCUAGCAACUAGUUGAUGUUAUGAUGCAUCGUUGGUCCAGUGUACGACGGCGCCUGAUGCGAUUUAUGCGUCCGGAAGCCCUUUCAGCCUCCAGGCAUGUCCCCAC